AGCUUGGUGUAGUGGUUUUAAUGUUGGACUAUGACUCUGAAGACCAGGGUUCGAAUCCCAGCUCAGCCA
rnacentral:tRNA from 1 species